rnacentral:lncRNA from 1 species
UCUCUUUUUAGUUUGUUUUGUCUUCUUUUGUAUGCGAGUAUGUUGUAGAUGCAUGUGACGUUUUAGUCUUUUAUAAAACUCUUUGUUGAUAAAUGGUUUUAACAGUGUAUCCUGAUCGUAUUUCUGUUAUUCAUAGGAGCAGAUAGAGUUUCCCAUGUUUUAAGCCUUUUAGAGUGAUUUGGUCAUCUAUAAGGUAAGGGAAACUAAAUACCUUGUUUCUAAAUGUUAGUAGUUAAAUAACUUAAAUUUGUAUGUGGUAAUUGCAUGGAAUAAUUUUCUGAAAUCUGUUUUGAAUUAUAUGAUAAUUUGUUCUGUGAUAUGUUGAUAUUGGUGAUUUGAUAUGGUGAAAUUCUUGUUGUAGACAGCUUGUUAAAUUGUAUUGGUUUUUUUUAUGAAUUGUGAAUGAUAGAAUUUUUGUUUUGAUUGGUCUUUUGGUUACUGAACUUUGGUUUAAUAAUAUAUUGGACAACUGAUUUGAAAUUGGUCUAUAAUUAGUGGUUUGACAUGUGAAAUUCUGUGAGGAUGGUUUAUUGACUAAGUUUAAUGUUAGAGGUCUGUGUUACUGGCAUUUCAGACUUCGUUAGCUUCUUGAUUUAUUGGAAUAUGGUAUUUAAGUAUGUUAAGUUGUAAUUGGGCAGUAGUGAGUGUUAGUUCAAUCUAAUGAACUGAGUUAUUGGUCAAUUGAGCAAAUUGAUAUCCAAAUAAAGGUUCAAACAUGUUUCCCAAACAAUUAUAAGUAUUAGGAUACCAAUUUGGUCAUUUGGAUAAGGCUUGAGUACACACAAAUCAAGAAUAAGAGUUGUUGGUUUCUGGUAUGACGUUAAGCGUUGCGAAGACAAUGAGUUCUCUGUGUUCCGGGCAAUGAGGGGACACUCUAAGCCGCUAAGAUUGUCUCUCUGUUUGCUCAAUGUUGAGCAGUAAGGAGUGGUGUUGAGCGUCACUUCUUUGGGUGAUAGGUUAAACUUGCUGAGCGAGCUUGUUUGCAUGAGCACUAACAUUGAGCGCCAGAAAUGGACGAUGAAUGCUCCUUGUUUCAAAUGAUAUUUCGUGUUUUUUGUGUUGUUUUGAUUUUAGAUAUGUUUGAAUUGAGUUACUUUGAAUUAUAUGUUUAUGUUUAAUGGAUGCUAAAUAUGGAUAUGAUUAUAAGUGGUAUGUGAUAAUACGGUGAGUGUGGAUGGUAUAUGAUAUGAGAAGAAUUUUAAAAAGAAGUUCUUAAGUUGGUUAUGUAUAGUGUAGAUAUUGAUAUAGGGUUUAUGUUAGGGGUUAUACUAAUACUCUUAAUAACUUCCAAUCUCAAGUAGAGAAGGAUGAUUAUGUUAUGAAGAGUAGCAGGAGGUCCUUAGUUUAGUGGUUGUUUCUCGGCCAUAGAUGUUUGAUAGAUUAACCUUAGUGUGUAGUAGUAUGUGUGGCUGAGUUGUUUCACCACCGCCGCGUGUAGGACCCUUGAAUUUAAUAUCAAUACAUGUAUCUAGAUGAUCAAGUCUAGAAGUAAGGAUUGUAUGACUUAAGAUUGAUUGUUUUAUCUAUGUUAUAUGCCUACUUCUAUAAAUGUGAUAUAUGAUUGUUUUUGGUACAUUAACUUACCUUUUUUUUUUUUCUGUUUAUCCGUUUCUUCUUGUUUGCAACAAUCACCUUAAUGGUAUGAGCGAAUGAAGAUGUUUCAGUUCAUUCAGUGUAGAACGAGAAUGAUGUUGAAGUUUAUAGUUAGAUAGCUAGAUUUCUUAAAUAAUUUUUGUAAAAUUGUAGUAAGCUUUCGAUUUGGUGUAAUAGUACUUUUAAAAGUAUAGAAUCUCUUUAUGAAUAUGUUUAAUUAGUGUUAUAGUUAUAUAAGAGAUAACUUUAAUAGGCUUUUGUAUAUAUUCUUACUAAAAAAAAUUGUCCUCUUAUUCUUUUAUAGGUGGUGUCUCUUUUAAUAGUUAUAUACUAUUAUAUUAAAAUGACUAACUUUAAAAUUUCAAACGCUAAGUUUUCGUUAUAAGAUGUAAUCACUUAUAAACAUACUUAUCUUUUGCAAAAUAUUUCACCAAAAUAAAAAUAAAGUAGUUCAACUAGAUGAAAUUAUUUUCAUAUAACUUACUUUAUAAGUAAUCUCUAAAAGUUAAAGGAUAUAAACGAGAAACAAUCCAUCCUUAUUUCAUAAGCUGUUCCUAUAAUUUCUCUGAUUUGUCUUCUCUUGUUUCAAUUUUUAUUUUGUGUUCAUAAUUCAUUAUAGUUUAUUUAUCGUAUUAUCUUCAGUUUGUUCGAAUCUGUUUGUUGAUGAAACAUAAUUUUAACCAAAACUUACUUUUUCUUCUUAGAACACACACAAACAAACAAAUCCUAUGUUAAUAAAAGCAACUAACUACUACACCAAGAACAAUAACAACAAUCUCAUUUCCAUGCCACAUUAAAAUUAGGUCCCUUGAACCUAUUUAAAUAAAUAGUAUAAAUAAGAAUAUCAUAAUCCAAAUACAGAUAUGCUCUUAUAGCUGAAUUUGGACGCAAUAACAACAUGAAGAAGAGAAGAACAUGGCCAACCUAUAAUUCUAUAUAAUCUAUGGCAUCACAACAUGAAUGGUAGAAUAGAAUAUUGGCUUGAGUUAAGCCUUGAAUGGAAAUGAAUGACACUGUCGAAGAAAAAUCUCCAUAGUGGUAGCAUUAAUAGUGACCCACAGCUUUGCCACACCUCAGAGCAUUACUUGGAAUUGGGUACUCAUCUCUCCAUGAAUUUGCAGGAGAAUAAACCCUCAGAUAAAAUUGCUGGCCCAAAUACUGAUGAACCCAAUUCUCAGAUCUCACAUUCCACAUUCCCACAUUGUCCAAAGGCACGUAAAGUGCAGUCCAUGACUUGGGAUAAACCUGCCAAACCAAACAAUGCUUUUCAAUGUCUAACUAAUAAUGCCAAUGAAAGUGAUAUUUGAUUUGACAAAGACUGCUCCAAUAAAGAAUAACUGUUUGGUUUGAAUAACUUCUCCACAACGAGUUUUUGAGACAAAUGAAAUGACUUUUUCACUAGACUUAAAAAAGUUUUUUACCCUGUUAGUCAAUCAGAAAGCACUGCAUGAUUAGAGAAUUACUUUAAAAGUAAAUUCUGAGAUGAUUCCUGAUAUAAGGAAAACCACAUAUUGAGAGUUUAUCACAAGGGAUAACAAACAUGAUUACCUGAACUGUGGAACGAGAAAUUGUAUCUCUUAAAUUGUAACCAAGCCUGCUAGCUUGUGACCAUUGUCCUCCAUCCAUUCUGCUCGUUCCAAUGAAAGAUGCAUUGUUAUAAUGUCGAUAUAGUAUGACAAAAAUGUGUACAUUUUUGUAUGUUCAAUCAAGAAAACAAAGAACUCAGAAUUUUGAGAGAUACAUGUUACUACAAGUUGGUAAAGGAAUCAAGAGGGGUAGCACAACGAAGUUCGGUAUCAAAUUUGCAGCAGAAAGGAAUGAUUAGGUGAUCUUACCCAACUACAAAGAAGCUGUGGCCGUCAAUGUGCCAAGAUUCCACAGUGUCUUCAGUAUUCUCAAAGACAACUUCCAGAAAGCCACGGAAAUCGGCUUCCAUGACAGAAGUUUGAAGGUAACCACCACCACCAGUGGGGUUGUCAGAGAUACUUCCAAGAGAGAACACACCUUGGAUCUUGUAGUAAUCAGCCAGUUUAAGUGGUGUAUCAGCAGGUAUGAAGGACACACUAUUCACAGCAUAUCUCUGUUUGCCAUUGAUAACUGGAGCAGAAUUUUGAAGUCUAACUGUACGAGUUGUAUUUAUCAAACCAUAAUGGUAUGAUCCUUGUGGAUUAGGCCUUGGCCCACUUGCUGUCAAAUUCCUCCUGAUUUAAUUAUAUAUAUGUAGUCAGUACGGUAGUUCUGUGUUAUAGAAUCUAUUUCAGAGACAAGAUGAUGAAAAAAUUUGGCAGUAUGAAGUCACAUAAACUUGUUAUAUAUCACUUUAGCUCUUCAUUAUGAAAUAAUUAGAUCUCAAAUACAGCACUGAUACAAUUCUGUGAUGGAACUGAUCUAUGGCAUGUCUCAGUUUUCAUACUUGUAAAUGAUCAAAAUAAGAGUUUAGAGGAAACGAAACUUCAUUUCUGAUUGAAUAAGAGCAAUAAAAACACAUAGCAUCUAUGUUUUGUCUUAAUUAAAAAAAGUUGCAUAAGAAAUUAUCAGCAAAUAACAUAUAUCUAGUAAAUGCAGAAAAUGAAAAUGUACAAUCACAUGUAUCAUUUAGCUUUUGAAUAUGAAAUGAAUACCUAAGAGAGCGAGCUUGGUUUAAAGACCAAUCAACUUGAAUAGUUGGCCCCCAAGGAAAAAGGCCAGUAACACUUCCUCCAGAGUUACUGUAACGAAAAAUGGAGGUAGCAUUCAACACUUGAGAGGUAAAUCGUGUUGUAACAACAAUAAGGUAGUCUUGGGGUGGCUGAUCAGCUGUAACCAACACAGAAUAAGACUGGCCCAGAUGAACAUCAAGUGAAUCAUAAAUGUUCUGGAGAGUGUGGGUCCCU